rnacentral:rRNA from 1 species
UGCAUUUUUCAAUAGCGGAGGAAAAGAAACCAACAGGGAUUGCCUCAGUAACGGCGAGUGAAGCGGCAAAAGCUCAAAUUUGAAAUCCUCCGGGAAUUGUAAUUUGAAGGUGGUCUCAGUUAGUUCAAACAUUCUUAAGUCCAUUGGAAAAUGGCGCCAUGGAGGGUGAUAGCCCCGUAAAGAAUCCGUUUUGUUCUAUUUUCUUUGACCACCAAAGAGUCGAGUUGUUUGGGAAUGCAGCUCUAAGUGGGUGGUAAAUUCCAUCUAAAGCUAAAUAUUGGCGAGAGACCGAUAGCGAACAAGUACAGUGAUGGAAAGAUGAAAAGCACUUUGAAAAGAGAGUGAAAAAGUACGUGAAAUUGUUGAAAGGGAAGGGCUUGCAAGCAGACACAACCUUUUGGUUGGGCCAGCAUCGGGGCGAGGGGAAGGAAAAAAGAAAAGGAAAUGUAACUCUCGAGUAUUAUAGACCUCUUCCAAAACUUCCAUCUCAUCCCGAGGCCUGCGGAUUCAUCCUAGGAUGCUGGCGUAAUGGUUGCAAGUCGCCCGUCUUGAACCAACGGGACCAA